rnacentral:rRNA from 1 species
AUUGAACGCUGGCGGCAUGCCUAACACAUGCAAGUCGAGCGGAGCGGCGGACGGGUGAGUAAUGCCUAGGGAUCUGCCUGGUAGUGGGGGAUAACGUCCGGAAACGGGCGCUAAUACUGCAUACUAUCAGCUGAGCCUAGGUGGGAUUAGUUAGUUGGUGGGGUAAAGGCCUACCAGGGCGACGAUCCGUAACUGGUGUGAGAGGAUGAUCAGUCACAGUGGAACUGAGACACGGUCCAGGCUCCUACGGGAGGCCGCAGUGGGGAAUAUUGGAAAAUGGGCGGAAGCCUGAACCAGCCAUCACGGGUGUGAAGAAGGUAUUCGGAGUGUAAAGCACUUUAAGUUGGGAGGCGUUACCAACAGAAUAAGCACCGGCUAACUUCGUGCCAGCAGCCGCGGUAAUAC